AAUAAGUCAACAGGCGAUCUUUGGCUAUUUCUUGUGUCAUAUGGGACCUCAGAGUUUGAACUCUGUGUCUAAGGCUCAGAUUAAACGUUCUCCUCGCACCCGCUGACCCCUGCUGAUGUCAUCUCAACCCCUUACCUCACUCCCAUUUUCCUCUAGUCUAAUUUUAGAUGUAAGACAAAACUUGCAUUUCAGGCUAAGAGCACUUAAUAAAUUACCCCCACUUUUCUGUUCUCUCUUCUGUCUCUGGCCUUUUCUUUCUUUUUUUCCUCAGUCUUGAAUAUGGCUUUUGAGACUUGAGGUAUUUUAAAAGGCUUUAUGGGAAAUGUAUGUGCAGAUGUUCAGAAGCAACAGCAUGGCCGGUCCAUAAAGGAACUGCCAUUUUAAACACUCAUUGUGAGCGGAGAAACACGUCAAUACCAGAACUGAAAAGGCCUGCCUACUUAACCUCAGAGCUUUCACGAAAAAUUCUCAUAAAUUACAGGCUGCCACUAGCAUUAAGGCAGGUAAUUUUCCCCCGUGUUUUUUUUUUUCUUCUUCUUCUUCUAUCUUCUUUUCUCUUUCCUUGACACACAAAAAAGUCCUGUGACCUCUUCCGCAAAAGAACGGGCAGACAACUAAAAGAUUUUCUUCUUCUUUUAUUGUGCAAAAUAAAAGACCACCUAACCUUUAUUCAAUGUGUUUUUUAUGCAGUCUUUGGAGGAAUGUGCCAUGUUAACCGUCAUUUUAAAUGUUAUUUCAUAUCAUAACAUAAUUCCAAAAUCUUUGCUUAUUUAAAUUUAUGUAAUUUACAAAUAAGUUUCUGGUAGAUGUCUUCAUACUCAUGUAAAUCAAAAGAAAGAGUGCAAUUUACAUAUUAUUUAUGCACUUUUGUCUUUAGGAUAGAUGAGAGAGACAGAAAACUGGAAGGAGAUGGAGGCCAGCCUUGAACCAUAAUGGCUCUUCAUUGGUUCAAAUGUACAAGUGACAGUGCUGCUGUUUUGGCUCUCUUGGAUGAAUGGGGAUGGGUGGUAAGCGGCAGGCGAUGGAUGGGUUGGAGAACAGAACAAGAACAGAGAUUUGCAGUGCAUUGCAAAACAGCAAAGAGCAGCAGCAGUGACACGGGGGUUAUAAAUAGAUCUCCAUAUAUAGAGCCAGAGGCUACCUGGCUGGCGGAGGCCGAGCACUCGCUACAGUAA
ensembl:lncRNA